GCAGUGUGUAAAUGGAUGCACCAUUAUCCAUAACCAAUUGAAGAGCAGAGUGAGUAAUUGAAUUAAACUUAAACUUCCGCAAAUGGAGGCAGCUUCUGUGCUCAGCUCUUCUUCUACAUCCUCCUUUUCUCUUUCACAUGUGCUCUUAUCUUCCUAUACCUUAAAACCCCAUGUGAGGUUUAUCUUCAAUUCUCUAUCAAAAUGCACUAGGGGUUCUCCUUUGCUCUUUUCUUCCAACCACAGCGUUGAAAGAUUCUCUCUGCUUCGACCUUCAGCUCUUACUUUCGAGGAAACUGUUGAUACUUUUUCUGUGCAGCCCAAAAUUGACAAGAGUGGCAGAUUCUGUAGUCCUAGAGCCGCUCGAGAGCUCGCUCUGAUGACAAUAUAUGCGGCAUGUUUGGAAGGCUCAGACCCUGUUCGCUUUUUUGAGAAACAGUUGAACAUUAGAAGAGAACCGGGAUAUGAAUUUGAUAAAGAUUGGUUAAUGAAGUACAAUCACAUGAGUUUUGGAGGCCCCCCUGUGAAAACUGAGACGGUUGAAGAAGCUGAUGAACUUCUCAAGGCUGAUGAAAAUGAUUCUGUAAUAGAAGCUGAAGUUCUCUCUGCUCCACCAAAAUUGGUGUACAGCAAGCUUAUUUUGCGUUUCACACGGAAACUUUUGGUGGCAGUUGAAGAAAAGUGGGAUAGUCACGUGCUUGUAAUUAAUAAAGUUGCACCCGAUAAUUGGAAGAAUGAGCCAGCAGGCAGGAUCCUGGAGCUUUCAAUUCUUCAUUUAGCAAUGUCUGAAAUAUCAGUAUUAGGAACACGGCACCAGAUAGUCGUCAAUGAGGCUGUUGACCUUGCAAAACGAUUCUGUGAUGGGUCAGCACCCCGCAUUGUAAAUGGCUGCCUCAGGACAUUUAUAAAGGAUCUUGAAAUAGUAAAGGAUGCCCGAGUUAACCAGUCUCUGUUUACUUGAAAUGUCCAAUAUCAAGAAUUUGAUGAAUACUCAAAAGAGUUAUCUUCAACCUACAUAGACAUUCUUUCUGGGCAUUCCUUGCAAAGCUAUUAGAAGAGAUCAGCUAUGCCUUGAGAUCCAGCUUCCAGGACAAAUUUGAGCUUCAGCCAAUACAAGGAAGAAGUAUAUAUAUAUCAAGAUGUUAACGUUGCCCAUCCUAAAGUGUAUGGUUACUAUGAUCAUGCCCAUGCUGUAAGCAAUGUGUAUUGUAUCGCCUUAUUCAUUCUGUAGUCUCUGUAUUUCGGUAGUACCAAAUUUUCUGAAGGCAUUAAGCCUGAUUUGGAAUUUCAGUUUGUAAUAGCUUUUUCGCAUGUUGCUGUUUAUGGGUUGAAAAUGAAUAUUAUGUGUGGAUGAUGGAAGCUAUAGGAAGUCAUUCCUUUUAUAGGUAAUCUUAACUUAUGGACGGAUAUGAUAUUUCUUAGAAGCAUCUUUAUUUUUA
rnacentral:misc_RNA from 1 species